rnacentral:sRNA from 1 species
GUAGUCCUGAGGCCUGUAGGCCUGGCUGCUCUGAGGAGGAUUGGCUAUGGCAAAGAAGAACGGCUUUGGCUCCAGGUGAGGGCUGUGAAGGGCAGAGGCCGCACCUGUGUGCUUUGGGCUCUGGUCUGGGCUAGCGAGCUGGCUGGACCGAGGUGGCCUUCAAGGUCCCACACCUACAUACUCCCAGACCACCCUCCAGGCUGGCAGAGGUGGAGCUGUUCAAUGGGCAGCCCACGGCAAGGGCAGACAGUGGGGCCCAGCUCGCCGUCCUGCCCCCCUUGGAGAGAAACUGAAAGUCCAACCCGGUCCUGGCCUGCAACCGGGCGUCCUACGAGUACGGGGCCUCGUGUUUCUAUUCUGAUAAGGACCUCAGUGGCGCCUCGCCCUCGGGCAGUGGCAAGCAGAGGGGCCCCGGGGACUACCUGCACUUUUCUCCCGAGCAGCAGUACAAACCCGACAGCAGCAGCGGGCAGGGCAAAGCACUCCAUGACGAAGGCGCCGACCGGAAGUACACGAGCCCGGUUUACCCUUGGAUGCAGCGGAUGAACUCCUGCGCGGGUGCUGUGUAUGGGAGCCAUGGGCGCCGAGGCCGCCAGACCUACACGCGCUACCAGACACUGGAGCUGGAGAAGGAGUUCCACUUCAACCGCUACCUGACACGGCGCCGCCGCAUCGAGAUCGCCAACGCGCUCUGCCUCACCGAGCGCCAGAUCAAGAUCUGGUUCCAGAACCGCCGCAUGAAGUGGAAAAAGGAAAACAAGCUCAUCAAUUCCACGCAGCCCAGCGGGGAGGACUCAGAGGCAAAAGCGGGCGA